UAAGAAGAGUCGAGGAAAAGGUAUUGUUUUAUGCAUCUGGUUUGCUGAUUCAGUAUUUCUUGUUUGGUUGAUUGCUAAGUACUUCUUGUUGGCUUUCUUAUUGUUUUAUAUAUUUUGAGAAUAUGAUGAUGUUGAAAUGGUAUUAUAAAUCGCAGAAACCUGUUACUGUUAUAUGUUUUGCUACGACCGCUUGAGGGGUCAAGGAAUCCAACAGAAUGUUUAGAGUUGUUGAAUUGUCUGAUCAGUGAAUUAGAUCCCCCGACGAUGACAUGGAGGGAUUACUUCUUUAGAUCUGUCUAUUUUUAGAAAUAUUUGAUCUUUGAAUUGGAAAAGUAUAAAAAUAAGGACUUACUGUGGGGUUUUAUUCUGUGCAGUUGUGCCUACGGGAUUAGCUACUGCCUUGGAUGUAAACCUGAGCAAUGAGUCCCUUGUUUUCAUAUCGGUUACAUUUGCGACAAUGGCCUAUGGCAUGGCUGCUAACAGGAGAUCUUUAUGCUUCAAACGACCAAGGUGCCAUGUGUACUCAUCCUCUCUGAGAGCUUCAAACUGAGCUGCUAUCUGCUCUUGAGCAGUUCGCAACUUUGUGCUACGAUGUGUAUUACUAGCUCUUCAUGUUGUAACCGAAACAUUGAUGCAUGAACUCGAAACAUUGAUGUAACCGUGUUGUUUUGCUUGUGUUGUAUUGCAGGACCAAAUAUAGUAAACGAAACAUUGUUGUAACUGUGUUGUUUUGCAACAGAUUUCACUAUAUGUGAGUUUGAGAGUUGCAGUCUCUUUCAAUUUGUUGUUGAUAUGUGGUGUAUAUCCAUUAUUUGUUGAAACAUAGACAGUGAAUUUUCUUGUUAUGUACCUAUUGUGUUUGCUUA